rnacentral:snoRNA from 1 species
UGGUCUGUUCUAAUCCUUGCUGGUCAGCCUGUGGUCUGCCAGGCUUCGCUUGUGGAUCAGAGCAUUCUAGAGGCCUCUCCCAGUUCAGCAAGACCUUUGGACACAA